rnacentral:rRNA from 1 species
UACGGGGGGGGUAAGCGUUGUUCGGAAUUACUGGGCGUAAAGGGCUCGUAGGUGGCCAACUAAGUCGGACGUGAAAUCCCUCAGCUUAACUGGGGAACUGCGUCCGAUACUGGAUGGCUUGAGUUUGGGAGAGGGAUGCGGAAUUCCAGGUGUAGCGGUGAAAUGCGCAGAUAUCAGGAAGAACACCUAUGGCGAAGGCAGCUCUCUGGGACGGUACUGACGCUGAGACGCGAAAGCGUGGGGAGCGAACAGG